rnacentral:tRNA from 1 species
GGAACCGUAGCUCAGUUGGUCCAGAGCGUCUCGUUUACACCGAGAAGGCCGGAGGUUCGAAUCCUCCCGGUUCCACCA